UACGUAGGGUGCUAGCGUUGUCCGGAUUUAUUGGGCGUAAAGGGCUCGUAGGCGGUUCGUCGCGUCGGCUGUGAAAUCCCGAGGCUCAACCUCGGGUCUGCAGUCGAUACGGGCGGACUGGAGUUCGGCAGGGGAGACUGGAAUUCCUGGUGUAGCGGUGAAAUGCGCAGAUAUCAGGAGGAACACCGGUGGCGAAGGCGGGUCUCUGGGCCGAUACUGACGCUGAGGAGCGAAAGCGUGGGGAGCGAACAGG
rnacentral:rRNA from 1 species